CAGGUAGAAAGAGCAGGCGUGAUGUACUGACAGGUGUGUACUCACACAGGUAGAAAGAGCAGGCGUGAUGUACUGACAGGUGUGUACUCACACAGGUAGAAAGAGCAGGUGUGAUGUACUGACACAGGUAGAAAGAGCAGGCGUGAUGUACUGACAGGUGUGUAC